GGAAUAUAAGAACCCGUCUCUUAACUUUUAACUAAAAAAGUUAAGAACCGUCUCUUAAAACUCUUAUUUAAGAGUCGGUUCUUAGCUUUUUUUAAUUAAAAGUUAAGAGACAUGUUCUUAUAUUUC
rnacentral:pre_miRNA from 1 species